CAGAGGGUAAUUUAUUUAAAAUUUUAAUUUUGGAGAUUAAGUAUGGGGUGUUAUUUACUCCUCUUCUGA
rnacentral:tRNA from 1 species